UAAUGAAUCGCUAAUGUACCCCGGACUCUGGGAUAGCCGGCCGAAAGGCCGGGUAAUACCAGAUGAUAUAAUCGCUCCGCAUGGAGUGGUUCUCAAAGGUCCGCCGGUCUGGGAGCAGGCGAUUUCGUAUCAGCUAGUUGGUGAGGUAACGGCUCACCAAGGCGACGACGCGUAGCCGGACUGAGAGGUUGGCCGGCCACAUUGGGACUGAGAUACGGCCCAG
rnacentral:rRNA from 1 species